AGAACGAACGCUGGCGGCAGGCUUAACACAUGCAAGUCGAACGCGUGUAGCAAUACACGAGUGGCGCACGGGUGAGUAACGCGUGGAUAUCUGCCUUUUGGUUCGGAAUAACCCCGGGAAACUGGGGCUAAAUACCGGAUGGUUCCUACGGGAUAAAGAUUUAUCGCCAAAAGAUGAGUCCGCGUCCGAUUAGCUAGUUGGUGGGGUAAUGGCCUACCAAGGCGACGAUCGGUAGCUGGUCUGAGAGGACGAUCAGCCACACUGGGACUGAGACACGGCCCAGACUCCUACGGGAGGCAGCAGUGGGGAAUAUUGGACAAUGGGGGCAAACCCUGAUCCAGCCAUGCCGCGUGAGUGAUGAAGGCCUUCGGGUUGUAAAGCUCUUUUGGCGGGACGAUGAUGACGGUACCCGCAGAAUAAGCCCCGGCUAACUUCGCGCCAGCAGCCGC
rnacentral:rRNA from 1 species